GACACAGGGGACAUGUCCCCUGCACUUUUUCAAAAGGCCGUUUUGGUCGCCUGCACUUUUUACUGUCCAAAAAACAAUUUUCUUUACAUCAAA